GGAGUCUGGUCCGUGUCUCAGUACCAGUGUGGGGGACCUUCCUCUCAGAACCCCUACGCAUCGUAGCCUUGGUGGGCCGUUGCCCCGCCAACCAGCUAAUGCGCCGCAUGCCCAUCUCCUUCCGCCGCAGCUUUCCCCGCACGGCCAUGCAGCCGCGCGGACUAUGGGGUAUUAGGCCAAAUUUCUCUGGGUUAUCCCCCUGAAGGAGGCAGGUCGCAUACGUGUUACUCACCAGUGCGCCGGUCGCCAUCAGGCGUGUUGCCACGCCCAUGCUGCCCCUCGACUUGCAUGUGUUAAGCCUGUCGCUAGCGUUCAUC
rnacentral:rRNA from 1 species